CGGGGUGCAGCAGGCGCGAAAACUUUACAAUGCACGAAAGUGUGAUAAGGGAAUCCUAAGUGCUCAUACACAGUAUGGGCUUUUGCCAAGGGUAAAUACCUUGGAGAAUAAGUGGUGGGCAAGACUGGUGCCAGCAGCCGCGGUAACACCAGCGCCACAAGUGGGAGCCACAAUUAUUUGGCCUAAAGCGUCCGUAGCUGGUCGUGUAAAUCUUUUGUGAAAUCGGAAAGCUUAACUUUCCGGCGUGCAGAAGACACUGCUCGACUUGAGACCGGGAGGGGUAAGGAGUAUUUCCAGGGAACCGGUAAAAUGGGAUAAUCCUGGAAGGACUACCUGUGGCGAAGGCGCCUUACCAGAACGGGUCUGACAGUGAGGGACGAAGGCUAGGGGAGCGAACCGGAUUAGAUACCCGAGUAGUCCUAGCAGUAAACUCUGCGGGCUAGGUGUUGCACCAUCCAAGUGAUUGUGCAGUGUCGUAGCGAAGGCAAUAAGCCCGCCGCCUGGGAAGUAUGGUCGCAAGACUGAAACUUAAAGGAAUUGGC
rnacentral:rRNA from 1 species